AAUGUGCUUGCUUCAUUUGCAUAUUAUAUACUCAAACUGGGACAAUAUUGAGAUCAGCAUGGAUUCUGCUCAAAGAUGGAAUGCAAAUUGAUGAACUUUUCCAUAUUCUU
ensembl:snRNA U6 U6 spliceosomal RNA